rnacentral:rRNA from 1 species
CAGUAGCCGCGGGAAAACGGAGGGUGCAAGCGUUAAUCGGAAUUACUGGGCGUAAAGCGCACGCAGGCGGUCUGUCAAGUCAGAUGUGAAAUCCCCGGGCUUAACCUGGGAACUGCAUUUGAAACUGGCAGGCUAGAGUCUUGUAGAGGGGGGUAGAAUUCCAGGUGUAGCGGUGAAAUGCGUAGAGAUCUGGAGGAAUACCGGUGGCGAAGGCGGCCCCCUGGACAAAGACUGACGCUCAGGUGCGAAAGCGUGGGGAGCAAACAGGAUUAGAUACCCGAGUAGUCCCUGUCUCUUAUAA